CAGGAAAUAGUUUAUUACUAAAAUAAUAGUUUUGGAGAUUAUAGAAAAGAAAGUUUCUUUUUCCUGA
rnacentral:tRNA from 1 species